rnacentral:rRNA from 1 species
CCUACGGGCUGCAGCAGUGGGGAAUAUUGCACAAUGGGCGCAAGCCUGAUGCAGCCAUGCCGCGUGUGUGAAGAAGGCCUUCGGGUUGUAAAGCACUUUCAGCAGGGAGGAAGGCGGUGAGGUUAAUAACCUCAUCGAUUGACGUUACCCGCAGAAGAAGCACCGGCUAACUCCGUGCCAGCAGCCGCGGUAAUACGGAGGGUGCAAGCGUUAAUCGGAAUUACUGGGCGUAAAGCGCACGCAGGCGGUUUGUUAAGUCGGAUGUGAAAUCCCCGGGCUCAACCUGGGAACUGCAUUCGAAACUGGCAAGCUUGAGUCUUGUAGAGGGGGGUAGAAUUCCAGGUGUAGCGGUGAAAUGCGUAGAGAUCUGGAGGAAUACCGGUGGCGAAGGCGGCCCCCUGGACGAAGACUGACGCUCAGGUGCGAAAGCGUGGGGAGCAAACAGGAUUAGAUACCCUUGUAGUC